UAAAGAAAAAACUAGGAGUAAAAUAGGGCUACUAACCUUACUUUGGGUAAUUCAAUCUUAUCCUUUUUCUU
rnacentral:tRNA from 1 species